AUUGAACGCUGGCGGCAUGCCUUACACAUGCAAGUCGAACGGCAGCGCGGGAGCAAUCCUGGCGGCGAGUGGCGAACGGGUGAGUAAUACAUCGGAACGUGCCCAAUCGUGGGGGAUAACGCAGCGAAAGCUGUGCUAAUACCGCAUACGAUCUACGGAUGAAAGCGGGGGAUCGCAAGACCUUGCGCGAAUGGAGCGGCCGAUGGCAGAUUAGGUAGUUGGUGAGGUAAAGGCUCACCAAGCCUUCGAUCUGUAGCUGGUCUGAGAGGACGACCAGCCACACUGGGACUGAGACACGGCCCAGACUCCUACGGGAGGCAGCAGUGGGGAAUUUUGGACAAUGGGCGAAAGCCUGAUCCAGCCAUGCCGCGUGCAGGAUGAAGGCCUUCGGGUUGUAAACUGCUUUUGUACGGAACGAAACGGUCUUUUCUAAUAAAGAAGGCUAAUGACGGUACCGUAAGAAUAAGCACCGGCUAACUACGUG
rnacentral:rRNA from 1 species